rnacentral:lncRNA from 1 species
GGCAAAGGGAAGCUCAUCAGUUGGGCUACAAGCAAAUGUGUCACGUCACUCUACCACAGCCCUUGGAAAGGUCUGAGACCAGGGUCGAUAGCAGCCCUGACAGGGCUGUCACUGAGCCCCAGGAAAGUGAGUGCCCAGAAAGCUGGGCUCCAUGAGGGAGCAGACUGGGAAGGAGGCGAAAAGGACGGGGGCCAUCUCCUGGCUCCACAUAAGGAGACAAAAUCUGUGUGUC